rnacentral:lncRNA from 1 species
AGGAGCUUGAAUUUCAGUUUUCUUAUGAGGAAUUUUCCAGAAAAGAUAUCUUCACUGUGAAAUAAGUAAAUAAAUGCCCACUCAGUACAUCACUGUCUCCCUUUUGGAACUUGAUGGCACCUUAAGCCCAGGUUUGCCUCCACUCUAGAAACUCAUCAGAGUGAUGCCCUUCUCAAAUGGGGGAGGUCCCAAAGGGGAUAUCCUGGCAGUGUGAAAAGCCGGCUAAAGCAAAAAUACCUGCUACAUGCUUCCUUCUGUAUGAAUACAUGAGACCUACCUUCAUUCAUGUUUCCUCUAUGAAGCUUUCCCUGAGCUCCAAACACAGAGCUGAGACUUCCACCUAAUGUAGAAAGCUAGCACGAGCCGGCGCUGACAGAUGGAAGACUUGAGAUGUUACAAGAUUAUAUAUGGAAACACAAAAGUAAAUUUUACUUAGGCCAUCGUUUUUUAUUUUCACCUUUGAAUUUCAAAGUAAAUUAGAGAUAUGUAAAUAACAGAAUUAUCAACAUUAAAAUCUUAUUCACAACAAUGGCUAACAAGAACAGGACGACAGUCAAGUCAGUAGCUUUUUAAUAAAAUGAGCAGAAUCCCAUCGUAACAGUUUUUGUGCAAAGAAGAGCUUAAGCACCAGUAAGAAAGACUGUUGCUAGCAUUUUUAUUUCAUCAUCAACAACAAACAUGCAGUUUCUUUCUCUGAUGUGCAUGGCACUGUAAAAUGGGUGCUACACUCUCUCGUGGUACAAAGUUUAUAAAUACAAUAUACUGAUACAAAGUUGAAGCCAUUAAAAAGAGCUUAAUAACAACUAUGAGGAGGUAAUUAAAUCUGGAGUGUUGAUGGAAUCUAUGAAGAGAUUUAGAAACAGGACAUAAACACUACGGUAAAAGUUUUACUUGGGAAGGGGCCAGAGGGGAACUUUUUAUGUGCUACUGAAAGAUUUUUUAAGUUGCUCCAAAUUUACUUUCUUUCUGCUAUUAUCUUUAAAUACUGCAAAGCAUUGUGAGCUGCAUCACUUUGUGCAUUGCCACAGGAGAUACCGGAGCCAUGACAGACUGUGAUGGGGCUGGUGGACAGUUCAGCAAGACAUUGAUAUUGUCCAUUGGCGCUCAGUUCAUCUGUAAUGACACAUUCAAGGAUGAUGAUUAAUGUCCAAUACGUAUAAAGUGGAUCCCUUUGUAAAAACAAUACAAUUCUUAUUAUUGUCUUUCUUUUUAAGCAUCCAUGGUAUACUACACCACUCGCAAUCUUUGUUUUGCUCGUACAAACAAAAAACCACAAUGCUCAGCUGUAGCAGUUUUCAAACACAUUACACUUCAUAAUGAUCUGACAGCGUUAAAGACAUACAGAUAUCUAGGCUGCACUCUAGCUCACUCAAUCAGAAAUAUACGGUUGGGGGUGGCUGAUUCCUACACUUAAAAAAAUAAUAGCUCCCAAGGCAAUUCUAAUAUAGUUAGUUGAACACUAUUUGGAAAUUACUGAACCACACAGUAACUUUCUCAAAAGGGAAAGAACCAUUUGCUAGAGGACUGGAGAGAUUGUAUUUUCCACUAGGAAGUCAUUUUCAGGAGGCAUUUGAACCAGGAAUAACUUCGGUCAAGGCAAAACCUCCCUUGUGUCUUCUAUUAAAAAAAAAUGUUUAAUUGAUACAUAAUAAUUUUAUGUAUUUAUGGAGUUGUCCGUUCAUGUUCCUAGGUUUUAAGUCUGUGCAGAGUCUAGUUCUUUAUUUAUACUGUAAAUGGGUCGUGGUAUUUUAAAAACAAUACCUGACCCAGGAAACAAACGUUCUUCCCAUCAACUGAUGAGCCACUCUUACUAAAGAUGGCUGAAAUGAGGGCAAAGAGGAAGAAAUAGAAACAUGUGCGGUAUGAUUUAUUUGAAGUAGGCAUAAUAAAACUGUUAUUUUUGAUAUUCUAUUUAGUGGAAAAUAUUCAAGAUACAAUGGGAUUAUUUAAUGAGUGAAGAGGCUUUCUAGUUCUAGUAUCUAGGUUCUUUUCUCCUGACCCUCCAGCCUCUGCUUGAGGCUCAUCCAUGUUGUAGCAUGUAUCAGAACUUCGUUUCUUUUUACAGCUGAAUAAUAUUUCAUUGGAAGGACAGUCCACAAUUUGUUUAUCCACUUAUUCACUGAUGGAUGUUUUGGGCUGUUUCUACCUUUUGGCUUUUAUGAAUAGUGCUGCUAUGAAUAUACAGAUACCUGUGUGUAUAGGCAUUUGUUUAAAUACCAGUUUUUUAUUUAUACUCCUAGGAGUGGAGUUGCUGGGUCAUAUGGCAAUUCAUUUGAGGAACUGAGAAGCUUAUUCCAUGGAGGCUGAACUGUUUUAUAUUCCCACCAGCAACGUGUAAGGUUCCAGUUUCUCUACAUCAUCACCAACACUUGCUAUUUUCCAUUUCCUUAAUGAUAGCCAUCCUAGUGGAUUUGAAGUGGUACCUUAUCGUGGUUUUGAUUGCAUUCUCUAUUGACUAAUGAUAUUGAGCAUCUUUUCAUGUAUUUUUUGGUCAUUUGGUCAUUUUUCUUUUUUAAUUUUAAAAUUUUGAGACAGGCUCUCACUAUGUUGCCCAGGUGGUCUCAAACUCCUGGGUUCCAGCGAUGCUCAUGCCUCAGUCUCCCAAAGGGGUGGGAUUACAGGUGUGAGCCACUUUGCCCAGCCCAUUUGUAUAUCUCCUUUGGAGAAUAUCUAGGUUCUUUUGAAGGUAGCUGCACAUAAACUAGCCAAAUUAACAGACUGUGGUUUUUAGACGGCUUUCCAUAUCUACAAGAACUAUUUAGUUCUCAAAACUGGGAAGAAAUGUUUCAGAGGCAUCAUUAAUUCAUAAUCUAAAAAUUUAUCUCAGGUUUCCUUUUUUCCCCCAGAUUCUGUAUCCUCCAUAGUCCUAUUCAUGACAUGGGUCGUUCAUCUCUGUAUUCUAAACCCUCAACGAACUGUAGACACUAAUAAAUAUUUAUUGGAUGAAUGGUCUCUCACCAGCCACCUUUUCUUUUUUUUUUUUUGAGACAGAGUCUCACUCUGUCACUCAGGCUGGAGUGCAGUGGCACGAUCUCGGUUUUAAAAAACUGAGGUCCAGAGAGAUUAAGUAAUUUGCUUAACUUCGCGAAUCAAGGACUGCAUCAAGGACGGAAGCUGAGGUUCCUGCUUUUGGCCUGGUGCUUUCUGUACUGGCCACACUACCUCCCAAAGGCAAAUAGUUUCUUACUACUUGAAACUAUUAUCUAGCUAAGGUAAAAUCCCAUUUUAAGCCACUUUUGAAAAAAACAAAAACAUGCCAGAGAAGUUAACAGGAAUUCUCACUAGUACUUUUUAAAGUGACAGUGUUUCUU